rnacentral:rRNA from 1 species
GACAGAGGCCCCGAGCGUUAGGCGGAAUCACUGGGCUUAAAGCGUGUGUAGGCGGAUCGUUAAGUGCCUCGUGUGAAAUCCCACGGCUCACCCGUGGAACGGCCGGGCAUACUGGCGAUCUUGGGCCAUUUAGGGGCGACUGGAACAAGCGGUGGAGCGGUGAAAUGCGUAGAUAUCGCUUGGAACGCCGACGGUGAAAACAGGUCGCUGGGAAUGUGCCGACGCUGAGACACGAAAGCCAGGGGAGCGAACGGG